rnacentral:tRNA from 1 species
AAUUAGAUAAUAAAUCAAUAUUUUUAAAUAUUUAUAGGAUUUAUAGGAAAAUAUUAAAUAUUUUUGACGUAGAAUUUUAUUUAAAAUAAUAAUUUAUGAAUCGAUUUAUAUUUUUUUCAUAUCAUAUAUAUAUUUUAAAUUAUUUUAAAUUCUCAAUUAUCAUUGAAUGUUCAUUUAGUUUCAUAUAUUAAUUUUUAAUUAAUUUUUAAUUAAUUUUUAAUUAAUUUUUAAUUA